rnacentral:rRNA from 1 species
AUUGAACGCUGGCGGCAGGCCUAACACCUGCAAGUCGAGCGAGUGGCGGACGGGUGAGUAAUGUCUGGGGAACUGCCUGAUGGAGGGGGAUAACUACUGGAAACGGUAGCUAAUACCGCAUACCAUCAGAUGUACCCAUAUGGGAUUAGCUUGUAGGUGGGGUAACGGCUCACCUCGGCGACGAUCCCUAGCUGGUCUGAGAGGAUGAUCAGCCACACUGGGACUGAGACACGGCCCAGACUCCUACGGGAGGCAGCAGUGGGGAAUAUUGCACAAUGGGCGCAAGCCUGAUGCAGCCAUGCCGCGUGUAUGAAGAAGGCCUUCGGGGUGUAAAGUACUUUCAGUCGGGAGGCGUUACCGCCAGAAGAAGCACCGGCUAACUCCGUGCCAGCAGCCGCGGUAAUUC